GCAGCUUUGAAAAGGGCUUAGCAAGCUCUCUCACUGGAGAUGCUAGUCCUUCCUGAACAUCCCAUGUACCCUAAUUAUCCAAGAAGAUAAAUGACAAACAAAAGAAUUUCAAUUUUUAUUUAAAGGCAAUGGGAAUCAUUGGAGUUUCUGUAGCAGAAGAAUUAGAAAGUAAAACCUGUGAUUUAGAAAUAUCAGCAUGGCAACUAUGUAAAUGAUGGAAUGAGGGGAUGAAAGACUGCAGACAUGGAAAGCAAUUAAGAUCUAGGCACCAUACCAUAGUGGACAGAGAGACAGCUUCACAGUUAAGAAGACCUCGAUUGAUGAUUGCUGGUCCGCUGAAUCACCGCCUGCCACACACACUCUUGCUUGAUGGAAGAGUGAACCUGGACAUCAAGCCACCCUGUUCUGUCCACAGUAGCUGCUGCUGAAUAUAAGGGUAUGUGUGUGGGCCAACACCAGAAUUCACCAGAUGCUUUGCAUAUAAAGUUAAUGUGUAAAAAUAGGAAACAAAACCAAUCUUUGUGCUAAAGCAACUCAUUAAGUCUGCAUUUGAACUGGGAACCAGAGGAAGCCUCAGAAUUGCUGGUUGAGAUGAAGAAGGAUGUGUUUUGCUCUGCAUAGUCAUGUUAUUAUAGAAUAAUGUGUGCUUCUGAAGCCUGAAUGUGGUAAUACCUUUGCUAAUAUUACUUUACUAAAGGUUGCCACCAUCCAUUCAAGUAUUUAUUAAUAAAAGAGUACAAUUUGGAUUUAGCA
rnacentral:lncRNA from 1 species